rnacentral:lncRNA from 1 species
UCAGCUGGAAGAUGAAGGCCUAAUCAAGAUGGAGCCAAGGGCAGGGCCAAGCUGAUGUUAGCAUCCCAAGCACUUGGAGGUUUCUUCUCACCCAAGACACCAGAUACGGAUGCCCAGGUACCACCUCACCUGCUCACAUAGGACCUCCAGUGGGAUGAUCAACCCUGCUGAUUCUUCACGGAUCACAGCAGCAGCCCUACAAGUACAAGAGGGAAGAACACCUGCCCCAACUCAGCACUGCCCCUGGCCAUCUGAAUUCCAAAGCAGCACUGCAAGAACCCUGCAACACACGAAAUCUUGGAGAAACAGCUCACCAAGCCCCUGGCUGUGCCCUUCAGCAUCUAAGCUGUAAAUUAUUGCAAGAGGCAGGGCCAGGUAGGACGCUGAUCUCAAGCUGUCCUCCUAUUGUAGCCUCCCUCUUUUUUCUUUUUUCUCAGGGGAGGCUCUAGAUCACUCUUCUCUUCUCCUGAAGCCGAAGAGAAAAAGCCAGCUCAAAAAGAAAUCCUUCAUGCAUAUCAACUGUUUCAUGCUUGGACCCAUACAAAAGGGUCCCUGCUGUCUUCCCCACAGUCUCUGCUUGUCACAUAAAUAAAUAAUAAGUAAAUAAAUAAAUCACCAUCAUCACCGGGUGGCUGAGCGAGUUAUGUUGCCCAGGCUCUGCUGCUCAGCACCACAUACUGCGAAUAGUCACCCUAAACACUCACUCUGUGGCUAACACUGCUCAGGCCCCUGGGAAAUGCUUCUCCUCAUCACUUGCCUUGGUCCUUGGUUACAAAGGCAACUGUGUCCAAACACCACGAAGGGUUGGGGGUUGUAUAGCCUCACAGGUGGAAUAUAGACAGGAUUUGAGUGACAGAAAUGUUUAGGUAAGAGAAAAGAGAAGUUAAUGAAC